rnacentral:rRNA from 1 species
GACGAACGCUGGCGGCGUGCUUAACACAUGCAAGUCGAACGGAAAGGCCCUGCUUUUGUGGGGUGCUCGAGUGGCGAACGGGUGAGUAACACGUGAGUAACCUGCCCUUGACUUUGGGAUAACUUCAGGAAACUGGGGCUAAUACUGGAUAGGAGCUCCUGCUGCAUGGUGGGGGUUGGAAAGUUUCGGCGGUUGGGGAUGGACUCGCGGCUUAUCAGCUUGUUGGUGGGGUAGUGGCUUACCAAGGCUUUGACGGGUAGCCGGCCUGAGAGGGUGACCGGCCACAUUGGGACUGGGAUACGGCCCAGACUCCUACGGGAGGCAGCAGUGGGGAAUAUUGCACAAUGGGCGGAAGCCUGAUGCAGCAACGCCGCGUGCGGGAUGACGGCCUUCGGGUUGUAAACCGCUUUCGCCUGUGACGAAGCGUGAGUGACGGUAAUGGGUAAAGAAGCACCGGCUAACUACGUG